rnacentral:misc_RNA from 1 species
AUUUUGGAGAGUCGCCAUCCCUCUGGGAUGUUGACGGCUUCAAAUUUUAUGAUUCUUCUGCCGUUCAUGAUGCUGCUAUUUAUGGGGAAGGAACUGUGUGGGAUUUAGUUCCCCUUAGUGCCAAAACAACAAUGUAUCCUCAUCAGCGUGAAGGAUUUGAGUUCAUGUGGAAAAACAUUGUUGGAGAUAUGUAUCUUGAGAAGCUGAAAGAGCCUAUAUCUGGUAAUAGGGGAGGAUGCAUAAUCUCACACCCACCUGGCACAGGAAAAACCCGUCUCACUAUAGUAUUUCUUCAGGCAUUUUUGAAGCAGUUUCCAAAGUGUCGGCCUGUAAUCAUAGCUCCAUCCAAUUUGCUUCUUAACUGGGAAGCCGAGUUCCAAAAAUGGGAGGUCGACAUUCCCUUCCACAACUUGAACAGCAAAGAUUUCUCUUCCCAGGAAGAUGAAGCUACUGUUAGUGUCUUCCACUGUUUAUCCCGUGCCGGAAAAAACAAUCCACACCUUAUACGUAUGGUGAAGCUGAG